GGGGAGCAAACAGGAUUAGAUACCUGGUAGUCACGCGUAAACGAUGUCUACUUGGAGGUGUGGCCUGAGCCGUGGCUUUCGGAGCUAACGCGUUAAGUAGACCGCCUGGGGAGUACGGUCGCAAGAUUAAAACUCAAAUGAAUUGACGGGGGCCCGCACAAGCGGUGGAGCAUGUGGUUUAAUUCGAUGCAACGCGAAGAACCUUACCUACUCUUGACAUCCAGAGAACUUUCCAGAGAUGGAUUGGUGCCUUCGGGAACUCUGAGACAGGUGCUGCAUGGCUGUCGUCAGCUCGUGUUGUGAAAUGUUGGGUUAAGUCCCGCAACGAGCGCAACCCUUAUCCUUGUUUGCCAGCACUUCGGGUGGGAACUCCAGGGAGACUGCCGGUGAUAAACCGGAGGAAGGUGGGGACGACGUCAAGUCAUCAUGGCCCUUACGAGUAGGGCUACACACGUGCUACAAUGGCGCAUACAGAGGGCRGCCAACUUGCGAGAGUGAGCGAAUCCCAAAAAGUGCGUCGUAGUCCGGAUCGGAGUCUGCAACUCGACUCCGUGAAGUCGGAAUCGCUAGUAAUCGUGGAUCAGAAUGCCACGGUGAAUACGUUCCCGGGCCUUGUACACACCGCCCGUCACACCAUGGGAGUGGGCUGCAAAAGAAGUAGGUAGUUUAACCUUCGGGAGGA
rnacentral:rRNA from 1 species